AUAUGAAUCACCUAGAGACCUUGUUAAAAUGCAGAUUCUGAAUCACCAAGUCUUUGGUGUGUUCUGAGAUUCUGCAUUUCUAACAAGCUCCUGAUUCAGGG
rnacentral:miRNA from 1 species